GACGAACGCUGGCGGCGUGCCUAAUACAUGCAAGUAGAACGCACAGGAUGCACCGUAGUUUACUACACCGUAUUCUGUGAGUUGCGAACGGGUGAGUAACGCGUAGGUAACCUGCCUGGUAGCGGGGGAUAACUAUUGGAAACGAUAGCUAAUACCGUAUAAGAACAUUUACUGCAUGGUAGAUGUUUAAAAGGUGCAAGAGCAUCACUACCAGAUGGACCUGCGUUGUAUUAGCUAGUUGGUGAGGUAACGGCUCACCAAGGCAACGAUACAUAGCCGACCUGAGAGGGUGAUCGGCCACACUGGGACUGAGACACGGCCCAGACUCCUACGGGAGGCAGCAGUAGGGAAUCUUCGGCAAUGGGGGGAACCCUGACCGAGCAACGCCGCGUGAGUGAAGAAGGUUUUCGGAUCGUAAAGCUCUGUUGUUAAGGAAGAACGUGUGUGAGAGUGGAAAGUUCACACAGUGACG
rnacentral:rRNA from 1 species